GUUUGAGGCCAAAAUUGGGGUUAAAAUUGAGGAAUUUGGGGUUCUGAGGCCAAAUUUUGGGGUAAACCCCUCCAAUUUUGGGUCAAAACACCCGAAUUGUGGGUUCCAAGGCCAAAUUUUGGGGUAAAACACUCAAAUUUUGGGUCAAAACCCCUGAAGUUUGCGUUCAGAAGCCAAAAUCGGGGUUAAAAUUCAUGAAUUUUUGGUUCCAAGGCCAAAUUUGGGGGUCAAAGCCCCAAAUUUUGGGUCAAAACACCUGAAUUUUGGGUUUUGAGGCCAAAAUUGGGGUUAAAAUUCCAGAAUUUUGGGUUCCAAGGCCAAAUUUUGGGGAAAACCCCCCAAAUUUUGGUGUUUGAGGCCAAAAUUGGGGUUAAAAUUGAGGAAUUUGGGGUUCUGAGGCCAAAUUUUGGGGUAAACCCCUCCAAUUUUGGGUCAAAACACCUGAAUUGUGGGUUCCAAGGCCAAAUUUUGGGGUAAAACCCUCAAAUUUUGGGUCCAAACCCCCCAAUUUUUGGUUCCAAGGCCAAAAUUGGGGUUAAAAUUCCCGAAUUUUGGGUUCCAAGGCCAAAUUUUGGGGUAAAACCCCUCAAAUUUUGGGGUUAAACCCCUCAAAUUUGGGUCAAACCCCCUGAAUUUUGAGUUCCGAGGCCCAAUUUUGGGGUAAAACCCUCAAAUUUUGGGUCCAAACCCCUCAAAUUUUGCUCUAAGCUCCCCAAAUUUUCGCUCGAUUCCCCCGGAUUUUUGGGUUAAAAUCCCCAAAUUCCCGUUUUUUUUCCCCAGCUCUCCUGGCCGGAGCCUCCCUGGAGGAGGACGAGGACCUGAACAACCUCUGGGCCACGGCCUCGACCUUCAUCGUCCUCUUCAUCCUCAGCCUCUUCUACAGCACCACCGUCACCCUCAUCAAGGUGAAAUAAACCCAAAACCGACGGAUUUCACCCCAAACCCGACGCCUCCUCCCCUCCCCCCGCCCCUGGAAUUUCCCGGGAAUGUUUCCCCUCCCCCACCUUGUAAAUAACCCCCAAAAACCCCCAAAAAUAAAGAAUUCCCCCUUUUUUUA